CGUAGACGCGAGCCGUCACUCCUCCCUCCGUCGCAGCCGCCAGACUCCGCCGGCCCCUCCCUCCGUCACAGCCGCCGCCGCCCCCUCCCUCAAGGAUCAGGAUAAGGAUCAGAUGAUCAUGUCUUCACUAAAUUACUAUGCAAGUAUCAGACGAAGGUAACAAUGUUAAUGGGCUACAAGGAACAACAAUGUAGAAGCUGGUUACCAUGAUGAAGUGAUGAUCGAUGUAGCAGAUGUGAGUGAGGAAGAAGCAAGUGCAAGCCAUGGUGCCCAGCCCGCUGCAAAGCCGCCGCUCUUCUCGCUGCCGGGAUCAGAGUCGACGGCCAUAGUCCCCUAUCGCCUGUUGGAUUGUACGCCACUGCCUCAACUCUCAAGGUCAGCCGAGUGCCUCAGCUCAAAUUCAGUUUUGUAUGUCCGUCAGUCCAAUGUCUGCAAACAUAUGAGUCAAAUUCAGUAUUUUGGAAUUUAUAUCUCUACUCCCUAAUUGAGGUGUACCCCUACCAAAGGAAAUAGAAUAGAGGUGUACUUGUUGUCUUGUUCAUCGCAAACCACAAAUGCACCUCUGUGUAAGCCUGAAGACUGAAGAGAUUAAUCACUUCAUGAUGCACAGAGGCACCAAAUUUGGUUGAUCCACAUGAUCUCGUUACUAAAGGAAGCUCGAAGUCGCCGACAGUGACAAUUAAACGUAGAAGUGUACUGUAGGUGGUCAACAGGCCCAGGAAAAUGAAAGAUGUUGUAGAAUUAAACUUUUAAGCAUUCCAUAACUUCCUGUUGGAAAACAGGUGAAACUCUUGCCAGAUAUAAUGUUUUGAAACAUUUUCUGGUCGUACUAUGUUGCUUCCUGGCAGACAUCUAGUUAUUGGACUGCUUUUAGUGCCGAGCUUUCUAUAGAGCGAUUAGUAUCUAGAAGUGGCAUUUAGCUUUUUACUGAAUAGUGAAUAGGGUAGACUUAUGCAACAUGUCAUCCUUUGGAUAAUUAUUCCAAUCCUUCCUAGCUCAACUUACUUCGGCUGUACGUACUGAUCUUGACUUUUCGUUCUUGCAUACAGUGAGACAUCUAAAUAUGAAAUUUAUCUUGGUCUUGUUGAACCUUGUAGCUAGACUCUGAUAUAUUCAGUGUCUAUUUCAUUUGAUGAUUACCUGGUUCUUGUAGGUUCCAAGUGAUCAGAAGCUACCAUCUCUUUAUCCGCUCGACAGUAUAGUCAAGAAUAUUGGAAAAUAUUAUCACUGCUUGUAUUAAACAGUUAUUGCUUGACAGUAUAGUCAAGAAUAUUGGAAAAUAUUAUCACUGCUUGUAUUAAACAGUUAUUGCUUGACAGUAUAGUCAAGAAUAUUGGAAAAUAUUAUCACUGCUUGUAUUAAACAGUUAUGGCUUGUCUCAAUCAUACUCUUUCUUACUCCUAGAUAGUUUCUCUUUAUGAAUGUACAUGAGUUCUUGUGAUAAACCAUAUUCAUGACAAAGAUAAUGAACCAGUUUAUUUUUAUGA